rnacentral:rRNA from 1 species
ACUCUAGAGAUAGAGCUUUCCCCUUCGGGGGACAAAGUGACAGGUGGUGCAUGGUUGUCGUCAGCUCGUGUCGUGAGAUGUUGGGUUAAGUCCCGCAACGAGCGCAACCCUUAAGCUUAGUUGCCAUCAUUAAGUUGGGCACUCUAGGUUGACUGCCGGUGACAAACCGGAGGAAGGUGGGGAUGACGUCAAAUCAUCAUGCCCCUUAUGAUUUGGGCUACACACGUGCUACAAUGGACAAUACAAAGGGCAGCUAAACCGCGAGGUCAUGCAAAUCCCAUAAAGUUGUUCUCAGUUCGGAUUGUAGUCUGCAACUCGACUACAUGAAGCUGGAAUCGCUAGUAAUCGUAGAUCAGCAUGCUACGGUGAAUACGUUCCCGGGUCUUGUACACACCGCCCGUCACACCACGAGAGUUUGUAACACCCGAAGCCGGUGGAGUAACCAUUUAUGGAGCUAGCCGUCGAAGGUGGGACAAAUGAUUGGGGUGAAGUCGUAACAAGGUAGCCGUAUCGGAAGGUGCGGUUGGAUCACCUC